ACAGAGGGUGCAAGCGUUAAUCGGAUUUACUGGGCGUAAAGCGUGAGUAGGUGGCUUCCUAAGUCGGUUGUGAAAUCCCUGGGCUCAACCUGGGAAUUGCAGUCGAUACUGGGAAGCUCGAGUUCGGUAGAGGCACAUGGAAUUCCGGGUGUAGCGGUGGAAUGCGUAGAGAUCCGGAAGAACACCGGUGGCGAAGGCGGUCUGCUGGGCAGUAGCUGACGCUGAUGCGCGACAGCGUGGGGAGCAAACAGGA
rnacentral:rRNA from 1 species